AGGUGAUGAAGACAGCGGAAUGGGUAAGUCAGUUAAGAUUCAAGCAUGUUGCCUACACAAUUCUAAGCACCUGGAUUUGGGGAACAUGGGAAACUAGAUAGAUUUUCCAGCAUGCUCCCAGAUGCCUCUUAUCCUGCAGACACCCUCGGCCUCUUCUCUGUCCUCUGGAAAAUCCAUCUGUCCAAGCGGAUGGGCACGUCUUCGGCUCAGGCAGCCUGUGCCUUCCCUCUGUCCAUGACCUUGCUCAGAUUCAGCUGAGCACAUCCACACAACAGGGACAAGAGUGCUACUUCUGUGGAACAAGCUUAGCACAGACCUUCCCACAGGAUCGCCCGGGGUUGCCUAGCAAUCUGACAGCACUCUGCCUCAGCAGACACACGCCUCGGAUGGAUUUUUCCUAUUUUUAAUUUGUUUUCUGGGAUCCAGAGAGAUACAAGCCCCGGAGCCCUACAGACUAGAAGCUCUUGCACGGCUGCCCCGCAUUUUGUGUGUUCAUCUACUUCAUAUAGUAGGACCUGCGGAACUUUCCCUAUCGGGAGAUCACCAAGAUAAAG
ensembl:lncRNA